rnacentral:misc_RNA from 1 species
GAUGAAGAACGUAGCGAAAUGCGAUAAGUAAUGUGAAUUGCAGAAUUCAGUGAAUCAUCGAAUCUUUGAACGCACCUUGCGCCCUUUGGCUAUUCCGAAGGGCAUGCCUGUUUGAGUAUCAUGAACACCUCAACUCUCAUGGUUUGCCAUGAUGAGCUUGGACUCUGGGGGUCUUGCUGGCCUAUGGUCAGCUCCUCUCAAAUAAAUCAGCUUGCCAGUGUUUGGUGGCAUCACAGGUGUGAUAACUAUCUACGCUUGUGGUUUUCCAUCAGGUAACCUUCAGUGAUGGAGGUUCGCUGGAGCUCAUAAAUGUCCCGCCUCAGCGAGGACAGCUUUUUGAACGUUUGAUCUCAAAUCAGGUAGGACUACCCGCUGAACUUAAGCAUAUCAAUAAGCGGAGGA